CAGGCCAAUUUAUUGAAAAUCCAUUUAGAUAGGGAAUACAUAAAUGGAAUCACAAACUUCAUUCAUAGUGUAGAUAUUGAUCGAUCAACUUGAAAUAGAUGUUUUGAAGGAGAUGCUUAAGCAAGUUGGAUAUUCAUGUUUGGAUUUUGGUCUUAGAAUGUUUAGUAGUAGUGAUAAUGAUUUAGAAGCUGCUAUGUUUGAUCAUGUCCGUAAAGGAGUUAGCUUAAUUGAUAUAUAUUGGAAAUCAAGAGUCAUGAUGCAUUAUCUAUACAUUAUAUUCCCAUACAUGAUGCAUGAUUAACCAUCCCCCACACCUUAUAGCAAUGUAGUUGAGAAACCUAAAUUCAUUGCACCUCAAAAUGAUCUUUCAUUAAGGCUUGCAACUGAAAAUGCUAGUGAAAAUAAACCUGAUAAAGAAAGUAGUGAUGGCAUUGCGAUGAACGAGUCACAUGUCAGAUUCAGGAUGAUCGAGCGGGGAAAGGUUCAGGUAGACUAGUCAGAGGUUUUCAUGGUAGUGGGAGCAUGGGUUCUGCUUCAGUCAAGGUUCCUAGACAGCAUUGGGCCAGGACCGAAUACCUAACACAUGUGCUAUUUGGUGUGGAUUGUUAUUGGUCAGGGGUAACUGAGAGAGAAAGGAUUGCUUAUCGGUGGAAGAUAGGGGGAGAGACUGAGAGAGUGCCGAAGAGGAAGGCGGUAACCAGUUUACAAUAGUAGCAACGUCAUCGGCGUAGCUGUCGCUUCCACCACCUCCACCUUCCACUUUUUUUCUCUUGCCAGAGGUCAAAAUCAUGUGAGCCAUAGCGGCGACAAGAUCCUUUGCUGCCCUUAAUAUCUUAAGAUGAUGUGGCUGGGUGACAUGGAUGAGAGAGAGGGGAGAACAUCCGAAGCCAAGGGCUGAGAGAGAAGAGAAGAAAAGGGUGAUUGUGAGAGGGGAGGUGGGACCUACUGGUCUUGAGCCUGUUGCAGAAGAGGGAGGAAAGGGAUGGGCAGCUGAGGUGGCACCAGGCAGAGGGGAAGGGCUUUAUGCAAUGGAGACAGUCUAAGUGUACAGUCAUUACCUUGGUAAAUUCAUGAAAUCUAUUAUCAUAGAAAGUAAACCGGUGGUGGCUUUUUGGUAGGCUGAUGAGCUUUCAUAAGCUAACACCAGCACUUUGAUUUAUUUCAGCAUUUUAUGUGA